UACGUAGGGGGCAAGCGUUGUCCGGAUUUAUUGGGCGUAAAGAGCUCGUAGGCGGUCUGUCGCGUCGGCUGUGAAAACUUGGGGCUCAACCCCAAGCCUGCAGUCGAUACGGGCAGACGUAGAGUGCGGUAGGGGGAGACUGGAAUUCCUGGGUGUAGCGGUGAAAUGCGCAGAUAUCAGGAGGAACACCCAGUGGCGAAGGCGACUCUUUGGCCUGUAACUGACGCUGGAGGCGACGAAAGCGUGGGGAGCAAACAGG
rnacentral:rRNA from 1 species